rfam:TPA: Bos taurus chromosome 26, whole genome shotgun sequence.
UCCCUUAUGGUUCAGGGGCUAAGACUCUGCACUCCCCAUGCAAGAGGCCCAGGUUCAAUCCCUGGUCAGGGAA